UACGGGGGGGGUAAGCGUUGUUCGGAAUUACUGGGCGUAAAGGGCUCGUAGGCGGCCAACUAAGUCAUACGUGAAAUCCCUCAGCUUAACUGGGGAACUGCGUGUGAUACUGGAUGGCUUGGAUUUGGGAGAGGGAUGCGGAAUUCCAGGUGUAGCGGUGAAAUGCGUAGAUAUCUGGAGGAAUACCGGUGGCGAAGGCGGCAUCCUGGACCGAUAUUGACACUGAUGAGCGAAAGCCAGGGGAGCAAACGGG
rnacentral:rRNA from 1 species